GCACCUGAUAAGACACAUUGCAGAGGAAUGUGAAAUAUGUGCUUUUCAAGCCAAAAAAAUUAUUAAGAGAUUUCCCAGACAUGCAGCUGCCAGGUUUGUGAUCAUACAAAGAAAAACGAUUGGCUUACCAUCAAUACCUGUCAAAAGUUUGCUCGCCCUUUGUUUCUCUCAGCAAAUAAAUAGGCGAUCUCACUCUCCUCUAAUCACACCUCUCUUCAACAAUCCUCCAGUGCUCACGUGCAGCCAGGAAAGAAAGCAAGUUUCAAAAUGAAAUUUAUCGUGCUUGCUGCCUGCAUCCUUGGGAUGGCCAUCUCUGCUCCUCUGCAGAUAUUUGAGGAGUUUGACAUCCAUUACGCUCCACCUCAGGCGGCCCAGGUUAUCCCUGCUGGAGUCCCACUUGACAAUCUGGAAGUUUUGCUCCCUGUUGAUGCCCAAAGACACCCUCUUGGAGGACCUGUCCACGGCUUUAUCAAGCACGAGAUUCCAAAUCCGAAUGGCAUAGGUACCAAGGAGGUGUUCUACCCCUUUGGCUUCAACCUGCCUAAUCCAGCUGCAGCUGACCCAGCUGCUCCAGUUGCCCCAGCUGCUCCAGCUGCUCCAGCUGCCCCAGCUGCCCCUGUUGCUCUUGCUGAUCCUGCCAUUCCUGUGGAACCUCUGAAUCCUGUCGUCGUUGCACCUCCCCCACGUGGCAAAGAUGAUGAAGAUGAAGAUGACUAAAACUACUUAGUCAGCAGGAAAAAAACACUCUUGGCACACUCAGGUGACCAGAGGUGUAAGACUAUCUGCUUACUGUGGUGAAAAAUCGCCAGCCAGCAAUGCUAUUUUCUGUGGUGCUAUGCAUUUUUUGAAACGGUGCUUUGUUUGGAAAAAGAAGAAUAAAGUCAAAAAGCAUGACAUGCCUCUUAUGAAAAAAAAAUUGAUGGUUUGCAGUUAAAUAUGACCAAAAGAAAAUAUCAAAAUAAAUGUAGCAGUAUAUUGUUUCCUCUCUACAUGCAACAUGAAAUGUUUCAUUUCUGUGCUUCAUAAUAAAUGAAACAGCUCAUUCAUCUAUUGUUUCUGGUUCUUUGCUUAAGAUAUAUUUCAAAUAAUAAAUAUCUGAUACUCAGUCCAUGAAUUAUAUGCAGCAUUUUGCAGAUUAUUACUGACUUGCUUUUUUGACUAUCCACAAAUAGCUACAGCAGGCAAUUAUAUUUAUUAUAAAUAAUAAAGGCUGUUCUCUGAUUUCACUACUA
ensembl:lncRNA